rnacentral:tRNA from 1 species
GAGGGUGUAGCUCAGUGGUUAGAGUGUGUGCUUAGCAUACACAAGGUUCUGGGUUCAAUAUCCAGUACCACCA